rnacentral:rRNA from 1 species
AACGCUAGCUACAGGCUUAACACAUGCAAGUCGAGGGGCAGCAUGAUCGAAGCUUGCUUUGAUUGAUGGCGACCGGCGCACGGGUGAGUAACGCGUAUCCAACCUGCCCUCUACUCUGGGAUAGCCUCGUGAAAACGAGAUUAAUACCGGAUGGCCUUUAUCUAAGACAUCUUGGAUGAAGUAAAGAUUCAUUGGUAGAGGAUGGGGAUGCGUUCCAUUAGGUUGUUGGCGGGGUAACGGCCCACCAAGCCGACGAUGGAUAGGGGUUCUGAGAGGAAGGUCCCCCACAUUGGAACUGAGACACGGUCCAAACUCCUACGGGAGGCAGCAGUGAGGAAUAUUGGUCAAUGGGCGAGAGCCUGAACCAGCCAAGUAGCGUGAGGGAUGACUGCCCUAUGGGUUGUAAACCUCUUUUAUACGGGAAUAAAGUGCGGCACGUGUGCCGCUUUGCAUGUACCGUAAGAAUAAGCAUCGGCUAAUUCCGUGCCAGCAGCCGCGGUAAUACGGAAGAUGCGAGCGUUAUCCGGAUUUAUUGGGUUUAAAGGGAGCGUAGGCGGAAGAUUAAGUCAGCCGUGAAAUCCCGUCGCUUAACGACGGAACUGCGGUCGAUACUGGUUUUCUUGAGUGCACAUAAGGAAGGUGGAAUUUGUGGUGUAGCGGUGAAAUGCUUAGAUAUCACGAAGAACUCCGAUUG